rnacentral:rRNA from 1 species
AUACGGAGGAUCCAAGCGUUAUCCGGAAUCAUUGGGUUUAAAGGGUCCGUAGGUGGGUAAUUAAGUCAGAGGUGAAAUCCUGCAGCUCAACUGUAGCAUUGCCUUUGAUACUGGUUAUCUUGAGUUAUUAUGAAGUAGUUAGAAUAUGUAGUGUAGCGGUGAAAUGCAUAGAUAUUACAUAGAAUACCGAUUGCGAAGGCAGAUUACUAAUAAUAUACUGACACUGAGGGACGAAAGCGUGGGGAGCGAACAGGAUUAGAAACCCUAGUAGUCC